rnacentral:rRNA from 1 species
GACGAACGCUGGCGGCGUGCUUAACACAUGCAAGUCGAACGGUAAGGCCCUUCGGGGUACACGAGUGGCGAACGGGUGAGUAACACGUGGGUGAUCUGCCCUGCACUUCGGGAUAAGCCUGGGAAACUGGGUCUAAUACCGGAUAGGACUCCUGCCUGCAUGGGUGGGGGUGGAAAGCUUUUGCGGUGUGGGAUGGGCCCGCUGCCUAUCAGCUUGUUGGUGGGGUGAUGGCCUACCAAGGCAACGACGGGUAGCCGGCCUGAGAGGGUGACCGGCCACACUGGGACUGAGAUACGGCCCAGACUCCUACGGGAGGCAGCAGUGGGGAAUAUUGCACAAUGGGCGCAAGCCUGAUGCAGCGACGCCGCGUGAGGGAUGACGGCCUUCGGGUUGUAAACCUCUUUCAGCACAGACGAAGCGCAAGUGACGGUAUGUGCAGAAGAAGGACCGGCCAACUACGUGCCAGCAGCCGCUGUAA